rnacentral:rRNA from 1 species
CAAUAGCGUAUAUUAAAGUUGUUGCAGUUAAAAGCUCGUAGUUGAAAUACUGACAUAGUCGACCGGUCUCACGCAUUGUCGUGAGCACUUGUGUUGUAUUAGGUCAUUCUUGGAUUUUAGCCAGUCUGGCAUUAAGUUGUCGGGUUGGUGAAAACCAUCGUUUACUGUGAAAAAUUAGAGUGUUCAAAGCAGACUUAUGUCGUUGAAUAGAUUAGCAUGGAAUAAUAAUAUAGGACUUUUGUACUAUUUUGUUGGUUAGGUGUAAAAGUAAUGAUCAAUAGGGACAGUUGGGCGUAUUCGUAUUUCGUUGCUAGAGGUGAAAUUCUUGGAUUUCCGAAAGACGAACUACUGCGAAAGCAUUUACGAAGGAUGUUUUCAUUAAUCAAGAACGAAAGUUAGGGGAUCGAAGAUGAUUAGAUACCAU